GAUGAACGCUAGCGGCAGGCCUAAUACAUGCAAGUCGAGGGAGAAUGUUGGAUUCGUCUGACAUGAAACCGGCGCACGGGUGCGUAACACGUAUGCAACCUACCUUUAACUGGGGUAUAGCUCAGAGAAAUCUGAAUUAAUCCCCCAUAAGACUACGACAUGGCAUCAUGAUGUAGUUAAAGCUCCGGCGGUUAAGGACGGGCAUGCGGUACAUUAGCUAGUUGGUGAGGUAAUGGCUGACCAAGGCUACGAUGUAUAGGGGGUCUGAGAGGAUGGUCCCCCACACUGGUACUGAGACACGGACCAGACUCCUACGGGAGGCAGCAGUAGGGAAUAUUGGUCAAUGGACGCAAGUCUGAACCAGCCAUGCCGCGUGAAGGAUGAAGGCCCUAUGGGUCGUAAACUUCUUUUAUUAGGGAAGAAAAAACGGGAUGCGUCCUGUACUGACGGUACUUAAUGAAUAAGGAUCGGCUAACUUCGUGCCAGCAGCCGCCGUAA
rnacentral:rRNA from 1 species